GAUGAACGCUAGCGGCAGGCCUAACACAUGCAAGUCGAACGGUAGAAGUUAGCAAUAACUUCGAGAGUGGCGCACGGGUGCGUAACACGUAUGCAACCUACCCUUAACUGGGAAAUAGCCCGGAGAAAUUCGGAUUAAUGUCCCAUAGUAAAUUUGAAAAGCAUUUUUUGGAUUUUAAAACUACGGUGGUUAAGGAUGGGCAUGCGUUCUAUUAGCUAGAUGGUAAGGUAACGGCUUACCAUGGCUACGAUAGAUAGGGGGCCUGAGAGGGUUAUCCCCCACACUGGUACUGAGACACGGACCAGACUCCUACGGGAGGCAGCAGUGAGGAAUAUUGGACAAUGGUCGGAAGACUGAUCCAGCCAUGCCGCGUGCAGGAAGACGGCCCUAUGGGUUGUAAACUGCUUUUAUUAAGGAAGAAACCCCUCUUCGUGAAGAGGGCUGACGGUACUUUUUGAAUAAGCACCGGCUAACUCCGUGCCAGCCGCCGCAGUAAAAC
rnacentral:rRNA from 1 species